CUACGGGCGGCACCAGUGAGGAAUAUUGCACAAUGGGGGAAACCCUGAUGCAGCAACGCCGCGUGGAGGAUGACGCAUUUCGGUGUGUAAACUCCUUUUAUGAGUCAAGAAAAUGACGGUAGCUCAUGAAUAAGCACCGGCUAACUCCGUGCCAGCAGCCGCGGUAAUACGGAGGGUGCAAGCGUUACUCGGAAUCACUGGGCGUAAAGGACGCGUAGGCGGGAUGUCAAGUCAGGGGUGAAAUCCUAUGGCUCAACCAUAGAACUGCACUUGAAACUGGCAACCUAGAGUAUGGGAGGGGGAGAUGGAAUUAGUGGUGUAGGGGUAAAAUCCGUAGAUAUCACUAGGAAUACCGAAAGCGAAGGCGAUCUCCUGGAACAUUACUGACGCUAAGGCGUGAAAGCGUGGGGAGCAAACAGGAUUAGAUACCCCCGUAGUC
rnacentral:rRNA from 1 species